rnacentral:rRNA from 1 species
UACGGAGGGUGCAAGCGUUAAUCGGAAUUACUGGGCGUAAAGCGCACGUAGGCGGUUAUUUAAGUCAGAUGUGAAAGCCCCGGGCUCAACCUGGGAACUGCAUCUGAUACUGGGUAACUAGAAUGUGGGAGAGGGAAGUGGAAUUUCCGGUGUAGCGGUGAAAUGCAUAGAGAUCGGAAGGAACAUCAGUGGCGAAGGCGACUUCCUGGACCAACAUUGACGCUGAGGUGCGAAAGCGUGGGUAGCAAACAGG